rnacentral:rRNA from 1 species
GUCCAGACUCCUACGGGAGGCAACAGUCGGGAAUAUUGCGCAAUGGAGGAAACUCUGACGCAGUGACGCCGCGUAUAGGAAGAAGGUUUUCGGAUUGUAAACUAUUGUCGUGAGGGAAGAAAUUGACAGUACCUCAGGAGGAAGCUCCGGCUAACUAUGUGCCAGCAGCCGCGGUAAUACAUAGGGAGCAAGCGUUAUCCGGAUUUAUUGGGUGUAAAGGGUGCGUAGACGGGAAAUUAAGUUAGUUGUGAAAUCCCGCGGCUUAACUGAGGAACUGCAACUAAAACUGAUUUUCUUGAGUACUGGAGAGGAAAGUGGAAUUCCUAGUGUAGCGGUGAAAUGCGUAGAUAUUAGGAGGAACACCAGUGGCGAAGGCGGCCUGCUGGACUGUGACUGACGUUGAGGCCCGAAGGCGUGGGGAGCAAACAGGAUUAGAUACCCCUGUAA